AUGGGGUCGAGGCGGCGGCGCGGCCAGCACCACGGCCGCUGGGUGGUGCCCUCGGUGGCGCCGGCCGCGGCGGCGUUCACGGCGGCCGGGCUGCUGCUCGUCGUCGUCGCCUUCCACUGCUUCCUCUCGCCGCCGCUCGGGGGUGGCGGCGGCGGCGUCCGGCGCCACAACCCGCCGUUCCUGUUGAACAAACCGGCCGAGUUGCGCAGGAAUCUCGUCGGCACCGUCGAUUUCACCGUUCCGAGUGGCGGGAGCAGGCUGGGGGAAGAGCUCUGGACAUCGAAGACGGCGCACCACUUCGUUGGCUGCAGCGACGCCACCAAGGAGUUCGCCGCAGAUGCCAAGGCUGUCACUGAGCCGAAUCGCUAUCUGAUGAUCGCCACCAGCGGGGGCCUGAACCAGCAGCGAACAGGGAUCAUAGAUGCUGUUGUUGCAGCGCGCAUUCUGAAUGCAACACUUGUCAUUCCAAAGCUUGAUCAGGCAUCUUUCUGGAAUGACGCAAGUGAUUUUGGGGAGAUCUUUGAUGCUGACUCAUUCAUAUCCUCGCUCGCAAAUGAUGUAAAGAUCAUACGACAAGUGCCUGACAGAAAUGGGAAAACACCUUCUCCAUAUAAAAUGCGUGUACCUAGGAAGUGUACUCCAAAAUGCUACGAGAAUCGAGUACUACCUGCCCUUUUAAAGAAACAUGUCGUUCAACUAACAAAAUUUGACUACCGGGUUUCCAACAGGUUGGAGACUGAUCUUCAAAAGCUCAGGUGUAGAGUCAAUUAUCAUGCACUAAAGUUCACAGAUCCAAUUCUCGAAAUGGGCCGAUUGCUUGUCCAAAGAAUGAGAGCCAAAAGUGGACGCUUCAUUGCUCUUCACCUAAGAUUUGAGCCUGACAUGCUCGCCUUCUCGGGAUGUUACUUUGGGGGUGGUGAAAUCGAGAGAAGGGAACUAGGUGCAAUACGUAAGAGAUGGGAUACACUGCAUGAAAGCAACCCUGACAGAGAACGCCGGCAUGGCAAAUGCCCUCUAACACCAGAAGAAGUUGGCUUCAUGCUCAGGGCAUUGGGUUUUGGGAAGGACGUCCACCUAUAUGUUGCGUCGGGGGAUGUAUACGGAGGAGAGGAGACAUUAGCACCUCUGAAAGCGCUCUUCCCAAACUUCCACUCGAAGGAGACUCUAUCAAGCAAGGAGGAGCUGGCACCUUUCUUGCCAUUCUCAUCUCGCAUGGCCGCCCUUGAUUAUGUCGUGUGUGAUGACAGCGACGUUUUUGUGACAAAUAACAAUGGCAACAUGGCAAGAAUGUUGGCUGGUCGAAGGAGAUACUUCGGGCACAAGAGGACCAUACGCCCCAAUUCUAAGAAGCUCUCCUCUCUCUUCCUUAAUCGAACCAGCAUGAGCUGGGACACAUUUGCAUCCAAAGUUCAGAUGUACCAAAAGGGUUUUAUGGGUGAGCCAAAUGAGAUUAAACCGGGAAAAGGUGAAUUUCACGAGCACCCUAUGGACUGCAUUUGUGCAAGGACAAAGAGAAGAACUGGGCCUAGUAAGCCGUACCUAAGCAAUCGUGCUCGUGAAGCUGCCGGGAAUCAUACCAGUGAUGCGGAGUUCGACUGGAGCGAUUUGGACUAUGGAGAGAAUACACCCUUGGGAGGGGAUUCAUCAACUGAGACUGAUCCAGAUUACGGCCGUAUUGCUGGACCAGACAUUCCUGAAUUGGAGGACAUACUCUCGGACUAG
rnacentral:rRNA from 1 species